rnacentral:rRNA from 1 species
GACGAACGCUGGCGGCGUGCUUAACACAUGCAAGUCGAACGCUGAAGCUCAGCUUUUGUUGGGUGGAUGAGUGGCGAACGGGUGAGUAACACGUGAGUAACCUGCCUCCUUCUUUGGGAUAACGCCCGGAAACGGGUGCUAAUACUGGAUAUUCACUGGUCUUCGCAUGGGGGUUGGUGGAAAGGGUUUUUCUGGUGGGGGAUGGGCUCGCGGCCUAUCAGCUUGUUGGUGGGGUGAUGGCCUACCAAGGCUUUGACGGGUAGCCGGCCUGAGAGGGUGACCGGUCACAGUGGGACGGAGAUAAGGCCCAGACUCCGACGGGAGGCAGCAGUGGGGAAUAGUGAACAAUGGGCGCAAGCCUGAUGCAGCGCCGCGGCGUGAGGGAUGGAGGCCUGCGGGUUGUGAAGCUCUUUCGCUCAUGGUCAAGCCGCAACAAUGGUUGUGGUGAGGGUAGUGGGUAAAGAAGCGCCGGCUAACUACGUG